rnacentral:tRNA from 1 species
GCCCCAGUGGUGCAGUGGUUAAGCACUUGGCUGCUAACCAAAAGGUUGGCAGUUCAAACCCACCCAGAGGCU